rnacentral:rRNA from 1 species
UACAGAGGGUGCGAGCGUUAAUCGGAAUUACUGGGCGUAAAGCGUGCGUAGACGGUUAUUUAAGUCGGGUGUGAAAGCCCCGGGCUCAACCUGGGAAUUGCAUUCGAGACUGAAUAGCUAGGGUACGGUAGAGGGAAGCGGAAUUCCCGGUGUAGUGGUGAAAUGCGUAGAUAUCGGGAGGAACACCAGUGGCGAAGGCGGCUUCCUGGCCUGUUCUUGACGCUGAGGCGCGAAAGCUAGGGGAGCAAACGGG